GCAUGGUUGGCUCAGUUGGUGGAACACGUGACUCUCGAUCUCGGGGUUGUGGGUUCAAGCCCCACAUUGGGUG
rnacentral:tRNA from 1 species